rnacentral:lncRNA from 1 species
UUGGAGCCGCCCUCUGGCUCGCCAAGGUCCUGGUCGUUCCCCGUCGCUGGCCGGCCAGGCGGCCGUCCCUGGCCCCCGUCCGUGUGAGCAGCGGCAGACCCUUGGCCACGUACGGAUGACUCAAGGUAGAAGAUGAAAGUAAUUACAAGUUUGCCACUGGUCAUUAAUCCUUUGCCAUUUAAUCGUUCUAACUCCGUUUCAUUCCGUUUUAAUUGCGUUAGUUUCAUAACGUCGCGCUCUACGCAGUAGUGCUAACUUUUAUUUUGUCAUAUUUUUUUUAUAUAUAUUUAGUUGAAUAUUAGAUUAAUUAAUAUAUGCACCUAAAUCUAUAAUUAAAAGCAAUAUAGAGUUAUAAUCAUGAUUUCUAUUAUUUUAUGACCAUGACAACGUAAAUGACUUGUUAGCGAUACUGUUUUCCAUGUCCCAUGUUUAUAAAUAUAAUUAGUUUAAUUAAUAUUUAUUGAGUGUCAUUUUUUAAUUAAUAAAAAAACAAUUUAGGUUUACACUUUGGUAUUUUUAUAAUCUAAUAUUAACUUGAUUAAUGUUAACUUAAAUAUUUAUUAGUUAUAAUUCUUUUAGUUAGACAUAAAGUAUAUAAUUAAUUUGUUUAAUAUUUAUUUAAUGUCUUUUUGGAUUAAAGUAACUUAUGUUUAUAAUUUAGAUCUUUUAUAAAUAAAUAAAUGUUAACAUUAUUAAUAUCAACUUAAAUGGUUCUUUAUUAGUUAUAACUUGUUAUAUAAAUGUGACGCAUGUUAGGAUUUGAUUAGUUGCUCUCACUUGCUUUGUGUUUUCUAAAAUUACAAAGGCGUAAAUGGCUUAAAUGAUAUAUAAUCAUCUACAAUUAAAAUAUAACUGAAAUUUAACUCCGGCUUUUAUAAUUCAACAUAAUUUGGUUAAUCUAAAAUUAGGAUAGUUCUAUUAAAUGUCUGUCAUUUUAUUUCAUUAAAUAAAAUACGACCAGCGUGUAGUCGUCUUCUUCGUUACACUUCGAACCUCGAAAGUCUGUCUGUUUAACGAUAGCUCCGUUCUCAACCGUUCUUGGGUUGUCACGAUCGUAGCCACAAGCCAUGUCGUUUAGUGCGCUCUUCUUUUCAAAGCUUUACUUUUGAUUGAUGCUUGUUCUUAGUCGUGAUUGUUGUUUGUUUGUUUGUCUAUUUGUGUUGCUUGGUUGCUACGCGUAGAAGAAGUGUGGUUCGUCAACAGUGAAGACCAGGAGCUGAGGACCGACAGUCGAAGCAGAAGGAAAGAAGCUAAAGAAUUCUGAGCAGAUAUACACUGGAGGCAAGUGCAGGCACCCUUUGAUCAUAUUGUACCUAUGAACUUUAAAUACAUUUACUUUCCAUUGCAUGUGUCUUAAUACUGCAAACCAUAAGGACCUGACUAGUCUUCUACUAUAUUCCUUGCACUCCUGGGUUUUAUACAUGGGUAGUAUAGUGAACAAUAGAUAUGCUUAGCUGCUCUGCUCAUCUAUUCCAUAUAAUAAAUGAAAGUAAAUAAUCUUGCCUACUGAAUUCUUCAAUGAUAAUUAAUGUUUAAAAGAGGAACAAUGGUCACUUCGGUGAUGGAGAUGUUGCGGUGCUUGCGAGCAUCGUGGUUUGCUGAGGAAAGGGGGAGCGGGUACUGUUGGUUGGUCUGGUUUGCCGGGCGUACCCGUCUCUGCUCUCCGUAAGGACUUAGUCAGGGAGCGGCCCCCUGGGACUUACAGUGCAGCUCCAAGCUAUAUGGCUCUGGCUUGACUAAUUAGCAGGACCUCCACUAGUAGGGUGUUACUUUCCGGGUAGGCGUGAGGAAGUAACUUGGGUAAUGAAUAUUAAGUUGUCGGUUGAUCGGUACGCCAUGGCUAUGGGUAUCGACUGUCGAGCGCCCCGGCGAAAACUUGCGAGUGGCAUCCUAUUAGUUGGACCCUGUGAAAGGUCUCGUAGUGAGACCCUGCCUGCUCACCUCGGCAGUGUUUUGGAGAGUCGCGACCCCAGGCAAAUGGGAAUCACGACUUGGAGUGAACGUGCACACCUCUGCAGAGUGUAAAACUGAUAUAUCAGCCGUGCUCACGGUCACGAGCGGCCCAGACCCUCACUUGAUGAGCAAAUUGGAAUCACAUGGAACUUGGAGGCGAAACUUGGUUGAGGUUGCUACCUCGUGCUUUGGCGGAAUGGCUAUUCCGUGUUGGCAGGAUUGCUGUCCUGUGUUCUUAAUUGGGAUUGCUAUCCCAUGACUUUAAUGGGGUUGCCACCCCGAGUUUCUAUCCGAGGUUGCUACCUCAGAGAUCUUAAUAAUAAUAAUUAUUAUAAUGAUGAGUAAUAAUAUUGUUAAUAUACUUUCAUCUAAUUAAGGGUUGGGAUGCUCACUCAUAUUUAGUAAUAAUUCGUUUUAAUAAAAGAAUUGUAAUAAAAGUUUACCAACUUAAAAGCUCAUCUGCAGUUAAACAGUGUUAGCUUUUCCUUUGAUUAAGCCUUGCAUGUCAUUAUACUUUCCGCCUGUACUUGUUGAGUUCGACAUGAACUCACCCUUGCUAUUUCUCCCACACCCCCAGUGUGUAGUAAAGUGCUGCUCAGAAGAAGGAUAAAGAUGUCAUGGAGUUUUCUAGAAGCUUAUGAGAAGUGCUUGGCGUACGGAGCCCCCAGUCAACCGUCCCUGAGAAGAAUGGAGCCUAAGAAGUUCUAGCUACUAUUUCCGCGUACUCUGAUGUUUUGUAAGUGUUAAUAUAAAUAUGUUUUCCGCUAUAAAUAACAUUGUUUCUGAUAUUUCUAUUCUUUGUUGUAUGUGUGGACUUCCUGGGCACACAUAUGACGACUCUGGUCUUAUUUUAAAAGCCAGGGUGUGACAAGUAUCACUUCAUAAGGGAAUGCAUAGAAAGAGGGGGGAUCAAUGUGAAGAGAGUGGGAACCAAUGAACAAAAAGCUGAUUCACUGACAAAAGCACUACCAUUGGGUAAGUUGGUGGUGAUGAGGCACCUACUCGGUGUGAGGGACUUGAGCCUCUGUCAGGCUUAGGGGGGAGCAUGUUGGCGUUAAGCCUGUCAGAGGAGUUGCUGAAGACAGUGCUCAGGACAGGAGAGAGUCUGGAAGCGGGAAAGUUUCGGUUUGAAACUUGGACGCGCAUGAGCUGGUCAAGCAGCGUGGUGACCGCGCCCACGAACUCGGUAGUUCUGCAGUGUGUGUUUUCAGUGACUUGUAUCCAUAUUUUAUUUAGGUGUCUUUCUGUAAAAGUGUCAUUUAGCUCCAGGUAUUAGGAGCAGGGACUUUGGCGUGUGUUAUCUAUCACUUGUAAGCCGGUUAGGCAUUGUGUACUGUGAUCCACAAAAAGCGAAAAGGGGCGCUGUCACCCUGUCGCCAUUGUGGCGGUUGCCCAGUUC